rnacentral:rRNA from 1 species
UACGUAGGGUGCGAGCGUUAAUCGGAAUUACUGGGCGUAAAGCGUGCGCAGGCGGUUGUGUAAGACAGAUGUGAAAUCCCCGGGCUCAACCUGGGAACUGCAUCUGUGACUGCACGGCUCGAGUGCGGCAGAGGGGGAUGGAAUUCCGCGUGUAGCAGUGAAAUGCGUAGAUAUGCGGAGGAACACCGAUGGCGAAGGCAAUCCCCUGGGCCUGCACUGACACUCAUGCACGAAAGCGUGGGGAUCAAACAGG